rnacentral:rRNA from 1 species
CCUACGGGAGGCUGCAGUGAGGAAUAUUGGUCAAUGGCCGGAAGGCUGAACCAGCCAUGCCGCGUGCAGGUCAGUGCCCUAUGGGCGUUAAACUUCUUUUGUGCGGGAGCAAUAAUGGUCACGUGUGGCCAGACGAGAGUACCGUACGAAUAAGCAUCGGCUAACUCCGUGCCAGCAGCCGCGGGAAUACGGGGGAGGCAAGCGUUAUCCGGAUUUAUUGGGUUUAAAGGGUGCGUAGGCUGUGAGGUAAGUCAGCGGGGAAAUGCCCCCGCUCAACGGGGGGAAGUGCCAUUGAUACUGCCUUGCUGGAAUGCGGAUGACGCAGGAGGAAUGUGUGGUGUAGCGGUGAAAUGCAUAGAUAUCACACAGAACACCGAUUGCGAAGGCAGCUCACGAAUCCGCGAUUGACGCUGAUGCACGAAAGCGCGGGUAUCGAACAGGAUUAGAUACCCGAGUAGUC